AACGAACGCUGGCGGCAGGCCUAACACAUGCAAGUCGAGCGAGCAUUUCGGUGCUAGCGGCGGACGGGUGAGUAACGCGUGGGAACGUGCCCUUUUCUGCGGAAUAGUCCUGGGAAACUGGGGGUAAUACCGCAUACGCCCUUUUGGGGAAAGAUUUAUCGGAGAAGGAUCGGCCCGCGUUGGAUUAGGUAGUUGGUGGGGUAAUGGCCCACCAAGCCGACGAUCCAUAGCUGGUUGGAGAGGAUGAUCAGCCACACUGGGACUGAGACACGGCCCAGACUCCUACGGGAGGCAGCAGUGGGGAAUCUUAGACAAUGGGGGCAAACCUGAUCUAGCCAUGCCGCGUGAGUGAUGAAGGCCUUAGGGUUGUAAAGCUCUUUCAGCUGGGAAGAUAAUGACGGUACCAGCAGAAGAAGCCCCGGCUAACUCCGUG
rnacentral:rRNA from 1 species